AGAGGAAAGCCAGUGUCUGUGGGCCAAAGAGAGAAGAACCGGGAGGAGAGGGGAAGGAUGGUGUGACUCAGAGCUCAAGUGAUCGUCGCAGCAACGCUGAGAGGGAAGUGGAGUCUCCAGUUACAGAUGAUGGAACCAAAGGGCAGAGGACGAGAAACUCGCCGCAGGUCACAGUCCUGCAGCUGGUCGGUGGUGGUGUUGGGAUUCGAGACCGAUAUUCUCCCAUGUUCCCCCCUCUCGAUCCGCAAUAGAGAAAUGGAAAGAGACCAGAAGACACCCACAGCCCAAGGGACAGAGAUGGAGUGAGAACACGAGCUCGGGCAAGGCACAGGCGCUAUUCUAAUACUCAGAUCCUUGGCGUGUGUGAAUGUACUCACUUCUCCCAAAACCCUAUGAAAGGCAGAGGUUCAUCAUCCUCACGAUACAGAUGAGGAAACUGAGUCACAGAGAAGCUAGGUAAGCUGGCCAAGGAAUAAACAUGGUAAGUCUGGCUCCACAGCCUUCGCUCACAGCCCCAAUGUCCCUAGAAGAUUCCAGAGGCGUCAGACUAGGCCCUGUUGGCAAGUGAGAGGUGGUGUCAGUGCUGCUUGUUCUGCCUGAAUGUGACCCAAUCUCUUGCUUUUUCAGGUAUAGCCAAGCAUUAAGGAGAAAAAGCUGAGCAAAAGGAGCCAAGAACAGAAAAAGUUCUAUGUACUUUGAGAGUAAACAAAAAUGAGAAGCGCAUGAAUAUG